rnacentral:rRNA from 1 species
CAAUAGCGUAUAUUUAAGUUGUUGCAGUUAAAAAGCUCGUAGUUGGAUUUCGGUUAAGAGCGACCGGUCCGCCGUUUGGUGUGCACUGGUUGGUUUUAACUUCCUGUAGAGGACGUGCUCUGGGUUUAACGACCUGGACUCGGAGUCUACGUGGUUACUUUGAAAAAAUUAGAGUGUUCAAAGCGGGCUUACGCUUGAAUAUUUCAGCAUGGAAUAACACUAUAGGACUCCUGUCCUAUUUCGUUGGUCUCGGGACGGGAGUAAUGAUUAAGAGGAACAGUUGGGGGCAUUCGUAUUUCAUUGUCAGAGGCGAAAUUCUUGGAUUUAUGAAAGACGAACUUCUGCGAAAGCAUUUGCCAAGGAUGUUUUCAUUA